GAUGAACGCUGGCGGCGUGCCUAAUACAUGCAAGUCGAGCGGUAAGGCCUCUUCGGAGGUACACGAGCGGCGGACGGCUGAGUAACACGUAGGAACAUACCCCAAACUGAGGGAUAAGCACCAGAAAUGGUGUCUAAUACCGCAUGUGGCCCAAGGGCUAAAGCUUCGGCGGUUUGGGAAUGGCCUGCGUAUGAUUAGAUAGUUGGUGAGGUAAUGGCUCACCAAGUCGACGAUCAUUAGCUGGUCUGAGAGGAUGACCAGCCAGACUGGGACUGAGAACGGCCCAGACUCCUACGGGAGGCAGCAGUAGGGAAUUUUCCACAAUGGGGGCAACCCUGAUGGAGCAACGCCGCGUGCAGGAUAAGGCCUUCGGGUUGUAAACUGCUUUUAUCUGUGACGAAUAUGACGGUAGCAGAUGAAUAAGGAUCGGCUAACUCCGUGCCAGCCGCCGCGGUAAUA
rnacentral:rRNA from 1 species